AUUGAACGCUGGCGGCAUGCCUUACACAUGCAAGUCGAACGGCAGCACGGACUUCGGUCUGGUGGCGAGUGGCGAACGGGUGAGUAAUAUAUCGGAACAUACCUUGUAGUGGGGGAUAACUAUCCGAAAGGAUAGCUAAUACCGCAUACGCUCUAAGGAGGAAAGUGGGGGAUCGCAAGACCUCAUGCUAUAAGAGUGGCCGAUAUCUGAUUAGCUAGUUGGUGAGGUAAAGGCUCACCAAGGCGACGAUCAGUAGCUGGUAUGGGAGGACGACCAGCCACACGGGAACUGAGACACGGUCCAGACUCCUACGGGAGGCAGCAGUGGGGAAUUUUGGACAAUGGGGGCAACCCUGAUCCAGCAAUGCCGCGUGAGUGAAGAAGGCCUUCGGGUUGUAAAGCUCUUUUGUCAGGGGAGAAACGGUUGUGGCUAAUAUCCAUGGCUAAUGACGGUACCUGAAGAAUAAGCACCGGCUAACUACGCGCCAGCCGCCGCCGUAA
rnacentral:rRNA from 1 species